AGAGUUUGAUCAUGGCUCAGAACGAACGCUGGCGGCAGGCUUAACACAUGCAAGUCGAGCGCCCCGCAAGGGGAGCGGCAGACGGGUGAGUAACGCGUGGGAAUCUACCCAUCUCUACGGAACAACUCCGGGAAACUGGAGCUAAUACCGUAUACGUCCUUUUGGAGAAAGAUUUAUCGGAGAUGGAUGAGCCCGCGUUGGAUUAGCUAGUUGGUGGGGUAAUGGCCUACCAAGGCGACGAUCCAUAGCUGGUCUGAGAGGAUGAUCAGCCACAUUGGGACUGAGACACGGCCCAAACUCCUACGGGAGGCAGCAGUGGGGAAUAUUGGACAAUGGGCGCAAGCCUGAUCCAGCCAUGCCGCGUGAGUGAUGAAGGCCCUAGGGUUGUAAAGCUCUUUCAACGGUGAAGAUAAUGACGGUAACCGUAGAAGAAGCCCCGGCUAACUUCGUGCCAGCAGCCGCGGUAAUACGAAGGGGGCUAGCGUUGUUCGGAAUUACUGGGCGUAAAGCGCACGUAGGCGGAUAUUUAAGUCAGGGGUGAAAUCCCGGGGCUCAACCCCGGAACUGCCUUUGAUACUGGGUAUCUCGAGUCCGAGAGAGGUGAGUGGAAUUCCGAGUGUAGAGGUGAAAUUCGUAGAUAUUCGGAGGAACACCAGUGGCGAAGGCGGCUCACUGGCUCGGUACUGACGCUGAGGUGCGAAAGCGUGGGGAGCAAACAGGAUUAGAUACCCCGGUAGUCC
rnacentral:rRNA from 1 species